ensembl:lncRNA
GUUGAUUGCCCUCUCGGUUCACCUGUUGACUGGCUAUUUAGGUUCCUCUGUGGGCAGAUCUCUUUGCUUAGGUCUCAUGUUUUGAUUACUGUGCAGGUGUCCUUUCCUUUGUUCUGUGAAGACCUCAGUAAAUGUUCUGGAUUUACCCCUGCCUGCUGUGUUUCGCUGCGCCUGGGUUUGUACUAGCAUUAUUGUCACACAGUGGCCACGUGCUCCAGGCUGCAGUAGACUACCUAUUUAACUUUCAUCUCCAACUUUCAUCACUGCAAGUUAAAAGGCCAUACAGUUAAAAUGAUGCAUAAGGUCACAGCAUUCCGUAAGGUCACAGCAUUCCGUAAGGUCACAGCAUUCCGUAAGGUCACAGCAUUCCAUAUGGUCACAGCAUUCCAUACUUGUGAAAGGGGCACUUGUUGGUAGCCUUGAGUUUUCAGUUUGCUUCCAUGGCUGGUUUCACAUUUGUCUCCAGCAUGCAAAAGUAAAAAUCAUCUAAAACAAUCUGUAUUUACAAUCCCCUUCUCCAAACAGAUUAGAACCUACUACUUUAUCUAGUUUGAAUUUUACAACUUAAAAAACAACAAUUAAACUUUAGCCCCACCCAUCUCUUUAAGGAUUCACAUGUGAGGCCAUGUACUAAACAACCAAAGAUUUCAAGACUAAAGACUGGUUUAUACAACGGGUGUGUUCAUAAAUUUUAUCUGGAGUGCCAGAGUGUUUUCUGGGCAUUCAUAAACUCAGAGCGUUGUCAGAUUGUCCCUUCAUAAAUUCAGAGUGUUACGCCCUCGGAGCGUUCAGCGCGCCACACUGGUCGAGGAGAAGUGAUGAUUUGAGCAUUCUGCCCUUACAACAGCAGUCAAGCACCCAAGCUAACUGGCUAACGUUGGCUAGCUUGCGAGUUACUUCCAGACACACAAUGAGAGAACACCUCACUCUGACCAGUUUACUCAGUCUAGCAGAGCUGGUUAGGCUGUUUUCAUGCAACUGUGCUGCUGGCAACAAUUUAAUUACGCUUUUUUUGCCAACGUUUACCGACACCGGCCAUAUUCAGUGGGUGUUGAGCGUUCGUAAAUUCGGCAGUUAUUCUGUAAGAACAGCAAAAGACCAAUCAUGAAUUAAAUGACCAAAUCUAGGCAACAUAUUUUUUGUUAAUUUUAGUGCAGGGUUUACUGAUUUCCUGACACAUUGAUAGCAGGGUUUACUGAUUCCAUGACAGAUAUGAGAGCAGGGUUAACUGAUUUCCUGACAGUAAUGAGAGCAGGGUUUACUGAUUUCCUGACAGUAAUGAGAGCAGGGUUAACUGAUUCCAUGACAGAUAUGAGAGCAGGGUUUACUGAUUCCAUGACAGACUGAGAGCAGGGUUUACUGAUUACAUGACAAUAAUGAGGGCAGGGUUUACUGAUUACAUGACAAUAAUGAGGGCAGGGUUUACUGAUUACAUGACAAUAAUGAGGGCAGGGUUUACUGAUUACAUGACAAUAAUGAGAGCAGGGUUUACUGAUUACAUGACAAUAAUGAGGGCAGGCAUUACUGAUUCCAUGACAGAUUGAGAGCAGGGUUUACUGAUUCCAUGACAGAUUGAGAGCAGGGUUUACUGAUUCCAUGACAGAUUGAGCACAGGGUUUACUGAUUCCAUGACAAUAAUGAGGGCAGGGUUUACUGAUUCCAUGACAGUAAUGAGAGCAGGGUUUACUGAUUCCCAUGACAGAUUGAUAGCAGGGUUUACUGAUUCCAUGACAGAUUGAGAGCAGGGUUUACUGAUUCCAUGACAGAUUGAGAGCAGGGUUUACUGAUUCCAUGACAAUAAUGAGAGCAGGGUUUACUGAUUCCAUGACAAUAAUGAGAGCAGGGUUAACUGAUUACAUGACAGAUUGAGCCGACAGCAAUAACAACAUUGUUGAGAUUAGUAGUGACCAGGGCUCGUAGGAGUGCUGAUCUAGCAUCCGUUUUUGACUUUUAGAUCAUAAUGGUUAUAUGGACAGAUCCUAGAUCAAUACUCCUACUCUGAGGUCCUUUCUGGAUACAGACUGUGAUCUUAGCCAAACUGUGUUGGGUUGACAGUCGCUGGAUCGGGGUUCUAGUAGGAUCCCUAUGUUUGUUUACGUAAACUAUUCAUUGAUCAUUUAAAUUUGGUGAUCUAGUCAUUAGCUCUUGUUGCUGUUAUUUGUAAGGAUUUUACAGGGUAGGAUGAAGGUCUUUCAUUGGCCUGGACAUAACUACUGUCACGCAAUAUCUGAAUACUUGGUCAGAUGAAAUCAGGGAACGAGAUUUCUGGAUGAAUUUCUAUUUUAAUCCCUUCAUGACUAACAGGUUCAGACCCAUAUCAGGACUGACUUCACAGGAGUACUGUAGGUUAGCACUGUUGAUGAAUAUGAGGGUUUCAUCUCUCUUUAAAAAUAAUCAGUAUAUUCUCUGUUUCUUGUCUCUCUUUAUUGGGCUUUUAUUCAUUUCCAAAUGAUUCAUAAUUAAAGUUGGAUAAAUGAAUCAAGAAACAAGACCAAGACUUAAGCCCUUCUAUCUAUACAUGUUCAAAUUGUUUUAUCCUCCAAAUGUCUUUAUAUAAGUAGAUCCAUAGCCUACACAUGGUGUCUCCCAGUGAAUCAGGGGCUCCACCAGUUCCUAACCAGUCCUGUUGUAAACCAUAUCACCGCCCCUGUCAACCCUCCCAUGACAACACCUCCAAAACCACCUGUCAGAACCCCCAUCAACAACCCUGUCACUAUGGCGACGAAGAGCUCCAAUACGAUUCUCUGCCUGUCCUCCUUCCUCCACUGGUAUCUGUAGCGCUCCCUCUCCUCCACCUCAUUGGUCUGCACUGCCAAGAGAAAGACACACC